rnacentral:lncRNA from 1 species
GUUCUUGAAGGAGGAAAAUAUUUUCCCAAGAAAGUUUCUUGCAUCUCAAUCCAUGUGCGUAUGGAUCUAGGAGGCAACUUACUUAACCACUUCCUCGCAUAGUCCUUGAGUGUGAAAGGGAACAAUCUAAGCUUCAAACCAUCGGGAUUGAGACCAUGUAGUUGAACGGUAGUACACACUUCUUCAAACUCCGCAAUAUGAUCAUAGGGAUUAUUUGAGGGCAUGCCAUGGAAUAUGGGUAGAAUGCUCAAAGUACUUGGCUUGAUCUCAAAAUGAUGCUCGCAUGGAGGGAGCACAAUACAAGAAGGAUGAUCAACAAUUGUGGGACUAGUGUUGUGAUCUUAAUGGACUCGGUGAAAGGCUUCUUGGAUGUACUCUUGGUCUAGGAGGUGCUCGCUUUCUUGGACGACCUCUUUGUCUCUUUGGAGUUUCACUCAUGC